UGAAAACCCUAGCACCAUCCACGGCGCGGUGAAAAAUAUCCCCUUUCUUCUCCGCCGUCAAUUUUCCUCGUCUCUCCCUCCACCAUGCGCCUCAACUCCGCCGCCACCUCUCCUCGGAUGUCCGCCCACGGUCUGCCCAGAGGGACAGAGGGGGCCACCAAGCGACGGCAGAGCGGGUUCAUAGAGACGGAGAGGGUGAGUCCAUGGCCAGACGAGGGAGGAAGACAGAUGGCGGGGUGGAUCGGGUGCCCUAGGCCUAUGCUGUCGGCCUCCUCGUGCUGCUCACCAUCUCCGUCGCCGUCCUCAUCGCCAUCUGCCACUCCUCCUUCCCCCUGCCCAGACCGCGGGAAGAAGCCGAGAAGGGAGGCCGACCGGCGGCAGCCACGCUCGACAACAUCCUCGCCUUCGCAUCAAGGGAGAGGAAGUCGCCUCUGCGUCCCUCAUCUGUGAGUUUCUUUUCGGGCCACCGACUCCACGGAGCUUGUCAAGAUGGUUGUUACGCAGAUGGUUGUUGUUGUGCUCUUUGUUCGUGUUCGUGCUUGUGUAGCUCCCACUCUGCUGCAGGAGGAUUGGGUUGGAUUGGUUUCCACUUGCCCUGUUCUCUGUUUGAGAACCUGAGAUGCAGCCCUCCAAAUCUUGGGCCCUAGGAAAGGGAGAUUUGUUUUGCUUCUACUCUACAUUCACUGUUGUUAUCUUCACUUUGCCACUCAUGGACGCUUCUUUGUUUCUUUUUUAUGCAUGUGUGGUCUGGGUGACAGGAGAACAAGUUCCUCAAGUUAAUGUGGAAUCCAUUCUCAACUUGUUACCACAGGGGUAAGCCCCCGAGUCAUACAUACAUCUCAACUUGUGAACAUUUUUUUAGCCAAUCUUGUUUGCUGCAUACACAAUUACAGUUCAGGAUAGAAAACAGAUUGUAUAUUGUGAUAUACAGUUCUUGGUCGCAGGUCUGUAGUUGUGUCAUGUGCGUUCAUUGCAGGUGCUCCUCUCCUCCCCAGCUCUCUCCCCCCUCUCUCUUUCUCUCUUCACAUGUACUAUCUCCUGAUUUUAGAUCUUUCUCAUCUUUUUUGACCAUCCCCUGCCAUGUGUGAGAACAAGGAGUAAUACUGCUCAUGUUUUUACAUCCUAAUUGAUUAUAUUUUGUACAACAGCUUGUUCUUUUAAUGGUAGUUUGUUACCUGCUUAGUUAUUCUGUUAUUGACAUGGUCAUUCCAUUUUUAUGACAAUAAAUGAGCUAUUUAAGUCCAGUCUCAUGGUUUUUUAUUGCUGCUGUUUCUCGUUGGAUAUUCAGGAAUCAAAUUGACAACACAUAUUCUAUAGGUGUUCCUAAUAGCAACAGUGGUAAUCAACAACGAGAAAAAAAAAGUGUGGGGCUGGAUUUGUACUAGCUUGUGCAGUCUUUGCCAAUCUAUAAGCGUUAUUUCGCUGGUUAAAAUAUUUUAAAGGAUGAGCAGUACAGUGGAGGGGAUUGUGUGGCAGUCCAAGGAAGUCUCUAGGAGAAUGCAGUUUUCUGGGUCCAGCUUUUUAACCCUGGACUUUCCGUGGAAGGAUACGUACAUCUGCCUUAUUCGAUAACCAAAACUGGAUGCUCUACCAAGCACCUGUCCAGCCCUGUGUGAGCUACACUUCAAUUUGUAUUCUCAGCAAACCAAAAGAAAUGAUGCUGACAUUCCGGUCAGAUGAAGUGAUUUGUUCAAGCCACAACAAUAAAGAGAAGAUGGAAUAUGUGGUGAGCUAUCUCAAAAAAGUCCGAAGCCAUUCAUCUUUGGGACCAAGCUGUAUGCACGUAGCUGGGCUCUCCAUGGGCAGCAGAUGGAAUAUGUGGCGAGCUAUCUCAAAAAAGUCCGAAGCCAUUCAUCUUUGGGACCAAGCUGUAUGCACGUAGCUGGGCUCUCCAUGGGCAGCAUGGCGCUGGUGAACACCAACAAAGCCUUUGACGCUCUCCUAAAUUAUGAGAACUGUUCCUUCAGAUGCAUGCCAAAACAUCUUCGUCUCACUAUUCACUCCCUGGAGACAUCGUCAUUAAUCUGUAUUGUCACCUAUAGCUUGUAUGGCAAACUUCAUGUUCAUAAUGUUUUUGUGCCAUGUGUGAUGCGCUCAGCAGUUGGUUAUAUUCCCUUGUGGAUUAUUGUUUCCUAUAAAGAGUGGAUCAUCCAUCUAAACUACUAUACAAGUAUCAAUGCAGAUGACCUUAAUUAUCUUUC